AUUGAACGCUGGCGGCAGGCCUAACACAUGCAAGUCGAGCGGAUGAAGGGAGCUUGCUCCUGGAUUCAGCGGCGGACGGGUGAGUAAUGCCUAGGAAUCUGCCUGGUAGUGGGGGAUAACGUCCGGAAACGGGCGCUAAUACCGCAUACGUCCUGAGGGAGAAAGUGGGGGAUCUUCGGACCUCACGCUAUCAGAUGAGCCUAGGUCGGAUUAGCUAGUUGGUGGGGUAAAGGCCUACCAAGGCGACGAUCCGUAACUGGUCUGAGAGGAUGAUCAGUCACACUGGAACUGAGACACGGUCCAGACUCCUACGGGAGGCAGCAGUGGGGAAUAUUGGACAAUGGGCGAAAGCCUGAUCCAGCCAUGCCGCGUGAGUGAAGAAGGUCUUCGGAUUGUAAAGCACUUUAAGUUGGGAGGAAGAAAAGUAAGUUAAUACCUUGCUGUUUUGACGUUACCUACAGAAUAAGCACCGGCUAACUUCGUG
rnacentral:rRNA from 1 species